rnacentral:rRNA from 1 species
ACCCAAUAGAUACCCAGGUAGUCCACGCCCUAAACGAUGCAUAUUUGGUGUGGGCAGUUCAUUCUGUCCGUGCCGGAGCUAACGCGUUAAAUAUGCCGCCUGGGGAGUACAGUCGCAAGGCUGAAACUCAAAGGAAUUGACGGGGGCCCGCACAAGCGGUGGAGCAUGUGGUUCAAUUCGACGCAACGCGAAGAACCUUACCUGGGCUCGAACGGCUGGUCAACGGCGGUGGAAACAUCGCUACCCCGCAAGGGGGUCCAGUCGAGGUGCUGCAUGGCUGUCGUCAGCUCGUGUCGUGAGAUGUUGGGUUAAGUCCCGCAACGAGCGCAACCCUUGUCCUGUGUUGCCAUACCGAAAGGUGGAACUCGCAGGAGACCGCCAGGGAUAACCUGGAGGAAGGUGGGGAUGACGUCAAGUCCUCAUGGCCUUUAUGUCCAGGGCUACACACGUGCUACAAUGGACGGUACAAAGCGCAGCGAACUCGCGAGAGGGAGCCAAUCGCAAAAAACCGUUCUCAGUUCGGAUUGCAGG